rnacentral:rRNA from 1 species
UACGUAGGUGGCAAGCGUUGUCCGGAUUUACUGGGCGUAAAGGGCGUGCAGGCGGUUUGUUAAGUUCAGGGUGAAAGCUCCCGGCUCAACUGGGAGAGGGCCUUGGAUACUGGCAGACUUGAGGAGGGUAGAGGAGAGUGGAAUUCCCGGUGUAGUGGUGAUAUGCGUAGAUAUCGGGAGGAACACCAGUGGCGAAGGCGGCUCUCUGGGCCCUCACUGACGCUGAGACGCGAAAGCGUGGGGAGCGAACCGG